CCUGUGUUGGCUCUGUAUCAAAUUCUCCCUAAUAAUUCCUUUCUUGAUGGCGCAGUUCACCUCCGGCCAUUGGAAGCUGCUUCGGGUCCUCCCCCUCCCCCCAUUUUCUGAAAGGCCUUCCUUUGGAUCUAGGAUGUCGUUCGUGACCCAGGGUUGUUUCUUCUUUCUUUCACGCCUUAUCACUUCCUGAACUUUUGACAGUAGCAUCACUUUGAUGUUUUAGCGAGGAUGUCUACAUUACAGUCCUCCAAGCUCUGUGCGGCGAAUUUACCAACUCUGGCCUUGAAGACCUUAACACCGUUUGAGUCUUGCAGCUUCUCCAAAUCAAAGCGAUUAAUGGAGUGGUUUGAGAGGAACUUCGCUUUCAGCUUCAGCUUCACAAGGUAUGGCUUAGCUGAGACAUGUAUGGAGACAAGCCUGCUGGAUACGGGUGUACAGCUGAUGACGGCUCCGACUGUCUUAAUUAUGAACGAUGAAGUCUACCCCAUACUCGUGCCUGCGUGGUAUCUUCCCCACUGUACCGCAUUUUGUGACCUUCGUCCGCUGCCUCCCCAAAUCAUGUCCAUCUGACCUGCGCCAGUCCCACAAUGUACCACCAUACAUCCGUACAACCGUUCUUGCUUCGUGGGGAGUUGUUGCACAUUGCCGGACUGAUGUGACGUGCGUACGUUUUGCGUGCCAAUAAGAACGGAACGAGGAUCAUUUGCAUAGAGUUUUGGAGGUAAGAAAAGGUCGAUGAACCAGAAACCUUCAUACAUCAGUGACUUAAUUGGUGCUAAGUGACACCUUUACCGCGUUUCCAUGCUUGAAAGACUAAAUCGAGUAACCACAGGGUGUUACAAUGUACAUUUUUACUUAAAUAUAUGAGCUAUUAAAACGAAAUAAUUUGAAGAAAUGGUAUGGAUCUUUCCUAGUAAAUGAUCGACACUGUUUCUGCUGCAGUGAUUAUGCAUGGCUAUCAGAGUAAAAUAUACCAAUAUUAUUAAUAGUGUAAGGUGACCGGAAGUUUCGGGAGCGAAAGCGGGACAUGUGCCAAUCAUAGUGUUGUCAGUUUUAAAGCUAAGAGUCAACAUUAAAAAAUACAUCCUUAUGAUAAGGAAAUAAAAAGGUAAAAAUAAUACCUGUCAACUCCUCUGUGAAAGUAGCAUAUAAUAGUAGAGUGUGUAAUACCACCACAAAAUAUAACUCCAUAUUCUCCUCGCUUACACUCGGAGAUAAAAAGCGGGGGAGGUGGGAGGGGUAAAAGCCAAAAGGCAGUAAACGAGGAGACAAAUAAUUUGAAAUUUUUAAUCAAACGGCAAUAGGCAAAUGCCAAAACCAAAGGUACGGAUGUGAACGUAUGGUGUAAUCAGAUUUGUAAAUACAAGCGGGACAUUCAUUGACAUUUUAGAUGAAAGCAGGACAUUGGGCGUCCCGAAGGGACAUUUUAUAAGCAGACGUGACACGUGGUCAAAGGCGGGACUGCCCCGCCCACGAACUUGUUUUACACGUCCAUGGUCCCGCCUAAAUUGGGACGUCCGGACACCUUAAAUAGUGUGAACUUAUAAUGCGCAGCAUCUCGACCAAGAUAGAUCGCACUCUAACAGGAACAGUCCAUUGGAGUAUACGGUGAAAGCUCUUGCCUUUUCUCUCACACACAUGUUCGUAAGCUGCUUGUUGGGGGUAACUUGUUUUCCAACGACGGUCUAGUAUUUCGGGGGUGGUAUCUAGCCAUCAUCAUCCAAUCAUCAGUAAAAACAUUUUUAAAAUACCUCCAAUUUUGGACAUCAGUCAUUAGUAAAGAAAAAAUAAAAAAUACUACCAAUGGUGGACUACAAUUUUAUAAAACUAUAGCUAUAGCCUGUCUCCUCCCAUUGAUUCUCUCUGGUGAAUAUAUAAUAUUAUUUCGGUGAAAUAGGUUUUUGACAGUUUUCAAUCAAAAGUUUACUCACGGUUUGAUUUAUAUAUUUAAUGUUCCUUUAUUAAAAGCAUGAAGAUUAUUUUAGUGUUGGUACAACCCCUAUAUAUAUAUAGUAGCACGGAAAUCCGAAAAGUCAAGUGUCUCUCAACGUUUAGCGAGAUAUGUAGCCUUCGAAAUUCGUAUUCUAGCUUUGACCUCAUUCGAGGUACCACGCGUUUUUCUCGAGGGUACAUGUAACGUCAUGCUGAUGAGGUGCUCGAAUAGGGGUAACGGAUAUCCUAUAUUCUGGUUGGUUUAUUUAGUAGGAAAGUUCCUCCACCUUGCGGCGAUUUCACACUAUAUGAGGGGUAGAGGGUGGUGGAGGAAACCGAAGAAAACCCCCAAUACCCAGUCCUGCGAAUAGGUGUCAUAUAUACAGAGCGUCCCGAGACGAGAUCUGAACCCUGAUCCGUUCACUAACCACUACACCACCGGGCGCCCCACUUGGUGAAGUCGCGCUAUAUAUAGCUCCGUGACGUCAAGACUGUCGGAAACGAAAGUGAGAGGAAAAUCACGAAGAAAACAUCAAGCAUCCACACCAUUUUAUUAUCCACACAGAGAAUAUCCGGGUAUUUUAAUUGUGCAAUUUUAUCACUAACGUGUAGAGAUAGAAGUCUGUGAUUCAAGUCUGUGUUUCUACACUAUUAUACGUUACACUGUAGAGUGAAAGGUGUAGUCGACUUGCGAGUUGUCUUUCUUAGUACGAGUUGCUACUUUCGGUUCUGGUUUCGUUCAUGGGAAAUCCCGAUCUACUAACUUGUGUAUGCAGUCUAUCGUCAUCUCUAAGAAAGAACACUACACUAGCAAGAGCUGUGCUAAAUGAAAUAUCAGACAGAGCAAUAUUGCGGUUAUGGCCGAAGAAAUGGACGGAGCGUGGAGAAACAAGCUAGUUGUGAAGGGCCUUCCACAGUGUUCUUCUGAUCUCAUAACCAACUAUAUCGAAGUGGUAUCAUCUCUGAGUGUAAGCGAGGAGAAUGGGGUUAUAUUUUGUGGUGGUAUUACACACACUGCUAUUGUUACCUUUACAGAGGAGUUGACAGAAAAAAUCUUCCAUAGAAUAUGUGAGCAGAGCAGCCAGAAGCCCCUGGAGGGCAGACAACUUAGCUUUGACUACAUCAGGAGUUCCACCAGCCUCCAUUUUGGUUUGGGAGGUUCCAAGCAAUCUGACAAGUGACAAUCUGAUGUACUACUUUGAGAGUCCCAUGCUGGUUGUCAUGAUGGUGAAGUGGAGAAAUGUGAUGUAAAUCAUGACAACGGCUUUGCGGUGAUAAAAUUUUCUUCUCCUGAUGUGGCAAGAUCUGUGAUGGCCAGCAAGGAGCACACGCCUGCUAAAGGGACUGUUGUGCAAGUGGAACCAUAUUAUCCAGAGUUUCAUGAGCUAUUGUUGAAUGAGUUGAUGAACAUACAAAAACAGGUCAGACCAAGAAAACCUCUGCAGGCUGCCAGUGAACAGAGACAUUCUCCAAUGCCAACAAAGCCUGCAACCAAUAUAAGACCUCCACUUUUGCCUAACCCAUCAUCUAGAGGAAGUGGAAGACAUGAUCUCCUCCAGGCAGGUGCACUCUUACAAGGAUCAGUAUGUAUCUCAUGAAACAUUUGAAAUGUCAGAAAAUUCCUUCACGAUUGAUGAAAGAUCUUAUCCUUCGAGGGAUGAGAGGGGUGGCCGUGGAUACAGCAGGAGAAGAAGCAGAAAAAACAAUUACAGAGGUAGGGCAAGAGGCUUUCUACCCACAAAUAACAAGUCUGGGCGCUGGGAUCACCACAACUUGGAAGAGUCAAACGACAAACAAACUUUUCAUGAAACUCAUCCCCAAAGAGGAAGGCGGGGAAAGAACUAUAAUCAUUAUUCAAAUGAUUUUGUUGGAGAUGACAGUUUUUUAGACCAAGCACAGUCUAGUGAUCAGCACUACAAACAAAAUAGAUCAGACAUGUUUGAAAAACAAUAUUCUAAAAGACAAACUAGAGCCGUGUCAGUCCUAAAGCACAUGACUCAAUGCCAAAACCAGUGAUAACGCUAGAUGCAGACUGUAACUAUGUUCCUUCUGAGAGGCCUGCAGUCUCUGAUUGGAACGUCCUCAAAUCAUUUUCACAGAAUGACAAUUUUGAUUCUGAUUUCUCUGACAGUGAACUAUAUGGUAGUCCUACAUCUAGGACAGACAGAUCUGCAGAAAUCCAAGAAAUUCUCCCAGAAGAAAACAGUUGCACAACUGCAUGUAAGGCUGAAGGAAAGAAAUCUUUCACAACAGCAGGCUGCACAUGAAAAUCUUUCAAGACAAAAGUUGGCUGAGGAAGAAAAUGAAAGAAAAGAGAAAGUAGAAUUAGAAAGAAAGAAAGAAUUAGAGGAGGAAAAUGAACGUCUGAAGAGAGAGCUUGAGAAGUUUAAGAGUCAGAAAACAGAGACAGUUGAUGUGCCAGCCUACAAGUUAUACCUGCUCUCAAACUUUCCACAAGAAUGCAAAACAUGUAGUGUGAUAUUCCUUCCGAAUGAUGGAAAAGUGAAGUUUACUGGAAGUGAAGAUGAUUGUCUUGCAGCCAAAGUAGAUUUUCUCUCCCGUGUUCAGGACUUAGCAGAAGACAACAUAACCUUGGAUGAAGAUAUUAUCAACAUUUUACGCUCAGAAAAAGGGAAGACAUACUUGUCUGCAGUCAGGGAGACAUUUCCUGACUGUUCCAUGGAUCUACAGGGGCGAGUCCUUGCAUGUACAAGUCACAACAUGCAAAAUGUUCAAAAUUUCCUGCAGCAAGUCAAGCGCAACAUUCUUGAAGAAUAUGUUCAGGUCAAGACCAUAGAAAUCUUAAACUGUCCAGAGUUUACUGCAAAAAAGAAAAAGUAGAAGAGGAAAUGAUGGUGAGGUUGAUCACCGUUGAUUCAGGAAAACUAAGAGUGAUGGGCAUCAAUGGUGAUGUGGGCGUGGCCAAACGUGAAAUAAUUGACUUUAUAGACUGCCAGAGACCAGGCAGGAAGGUAUUCCAAAUUCAGGGUCUACUUAGCUGGAAGAGCCUGCAAACAUUGGUUCUCCGCACAGCUGUUUAAUGCCAAAGCUUUGAUCACGAAAAAUGGGAAAAUACUUGAUGAACAGGAAACUUCAGCCAAGUACAUUCUCCAGUAUGAAUGUCAGCAAAAUUCCCUGGAUGAGGUGGAGAAAAAAUUGGAUUUAAUCAAGAAAAGCAUUUAUACAGCACCAUUCGACCUCAAGCAUCCCUUUCCUAAAUACACAGAUUAUGCACUAGUGGUGAAUGGCCUACACAUUUUUGGCUUGAAGCAGUAUAUUGCUGGACUGGAACACACAUUGAAGGAUCAGGGUCUGGAGGCUCUUGUAACUUUCAGUCUGCCACCAAAGUGUCAACUGCCAAAACAGA